rnacentral:rRNA from 1 species
CGGGACGGGGUGGAGUAAUGUCUGGGAAACUGCCUGAUGGAGGGGGGUAACUACUGGAAACGGUAGCUAAUACCGCAUAACGUCGCAAGACCAAAGAGGGGGACCGUUCGGGCCUCUUGCCAUCGGAUGUGCCCAGAUGGGAUUAGCUAGUAGGUGGGGUAACGGCUCACCUAGGCGACGAUCCCUAGCUGGUCUGAGAGGAUGCCAGCCACACUGGAACUGAGACACGGUCCAG